GCCUCUGUGGCUCAGCGGUUAGAGCAUCAGUCUUGUAAACUGAGGGUCCUGGGUUCAACUCCCAGCAGGGGCU